rnacentral:lncRNA from 1 species
AGAGGCGGCAAGGGAGGCUUACAGAGGUAAAUGGAGGGAUACAGUUCCAAGCCUCCAAUAUGCCAUCUCCUAAAUUCCAAAUGCUCAGCAGGAGGUCGGCUAACACUUCGUUGAAAGCCACUGACCCGGUCUACAAAUGUCAGCAGCUAUCACAGUGGACCAAGCAGGCCCACAAGGGACCACCUCUGCACACACCUGAGUGUGCACCUGCUGGCUGGAACCUGGCUUGUCCUCGCCUACACACGCAGCCUGGCACACCUGCAUGGCAGAGUCCCACCAAGCUGUAGGUCCCACUUAGGGGAGACUGGGACCAUGGAAGUUGGUGUGCUCCAUUCCUAGUGUGGAAAACAAGAUAUCCCCAGUGUUUCAUCUCCUCCUCUGCGCAUGAAGGUGGGUAAACAUCCGCGGAGUGGGACGAGCUGGAAAGCGGGUGGCUCUUGGCGUCAGGCAGGAGUUCUUCCAGUGUUGACCCCCCAACCCCCGUCCAUGUACAAGAACUGCAGUCUUGCCACCAACCAACCCAUUCGCCAACCCUCCCUCGCAGGCAUUUCGCCCGUCCCUUCUCUGAUCUACAAGGAGCAGGGAAACCGAGGCCCAAAGUAGUUGACUGUAAGCGCGCGAGGGAAGCUCGCCAGGCUCUUGUGUGCGCACCAGGCUGGGAUGUGGCGAGCGGAAACCACAGUCCCGGGUCUCCUGGGGCGGCGGAAAGCAAAGCCAAGCGCGGCGCAGGCACCUCCGGGCCCUGAAAGAAACCAAAGUUGGUCAAGCGGGCAAAGGAAAAAGAAAAUAAAAACACGGGUUGGGGCCUUUGGAAAGCAGGGCAUUCUCCGAAUCAUCCGCUGGAGUCGCUACUUGAACCUCAAGGAUGUGGCGUGGGAUGGGGCAGUGGGUCUACAGAGCAGGGGAUGGUGCGGAGACAGAUUAGGUUUGCUUCUGCAGCUCGGAUCUUGUUGCGGGUAGAUAGAUGUCUAUGCAGAUCCAAGCCGCUAGGCGUGGGGCAGCGGCGCGGAUAACUGGAAGAAAAAGGGAGAUUCUGACCUCAAUUUUCAAUUCCGAAUUCCACGUGCAUUCGAGGAAAAAGAGACGGAAAGACUGGGGCGGAGGGAGGGAGAAAGAGACAAAAGCAGAGACUGAGAUAGAGACAGACGCCAGAGAAAUACUAGGAGGAUCGAGAUUCGCGCCUUAGCGCCAAGCUGAAAGGAGCGAGGCGAUUCCAGCGACCCUC